rnacentral:misc_RNA from 2 species
AACGCACAUUGCGCCCCCUGGCAUUCCGGGGGGCAUGCCUGUCCGAGCGUCAUUGCUACCCCUCAAGCGCGGCUUGUGUGUUGGGCGCUGUCCCUCCCCUUCUUCGGGGGGACAGGCCUGAAAGGCAGUGGCGGCGUCGCGUCCGGUCCUCGAGCGUAUGGGGCUUUGUCACCCGCUCUGUGAGGAUCCGGCCGGGGCCUGUCUCACCCCCAAUCUUCUCUAAGGUUGACCUCGGAUCAGGUAGGGAUACCCGCUGAACUUAA